UGAGUGAGUGGCGAACUGGUGAGUAACACGUGGGAAACCUGCCCAGAAGCGGGGGAUAACACCUGGAAACAGAUGCUAAUACCGCAUAACAACUUGGACCGCAUGGUCCGAGUUUGAAAGAUGGCUUCGGCUAUCACUUUUGGAUGGUCCCGCGGCGUAUUAGCUAGAUGGUGGGGUAACGGCUCACCAUGGCAAUGAUACGUAGCCGACCUGAGAGGGUAAUCGGCCACAUUGGGACUGAGACACGGCCCAAACUCCUACGGGAGGCAGCAGUAGGGAAUCUUCCACAAUGGACGAAAGUCUGAUGGAGCAACGCCGCGUGAGUGAAGAAGGGUUUCGGCUCGUAAAACUCUGUUGUUAAAGAAGAACAUAUCUGAGAGUAACUGUUCAGGUAUUGACGGUAUUUAACCAGAAAGCCACGGCUAACUACGUGCCAGCAGCCGCGGUAAUACGUAGGUGGCAAGCGUUGUCCGGAUUUAUUGGGCGUAAAGCGAGCGCAGGCGGUUUUUUAAGUCUGAUGUGAAAGCCUUCGGCUCAACCGAAGAAGUGCAUCGGAAACUGGGAAACUUGAGUGCAGAAGAGGACAGUGGAACUCCAUGUGUAGCGGUGAAAUGCGUAGAUAUAUGGAAGAACACCAGUGGCGAAGGCGGCUGUCUGGUCUGUAACUGACGCUGAGGCUCGAAAGUAUGGGUAGCAAACAGGAUUAGAUACCCUGGUAGUCCAUACCGUAAACGAUGAAUGCUAAGUGUUGGAGGGUUUCCGCCCUUCAGUGCUGCAGCUAACGCAUUAAGCAUUCCGCCUGGGGAGUACGGCCGCAAGGCUGAAACUCAAAGGAAUUGACGGGGGCCCGCACAAGCGGUGGAGCAUGUGGUUUAAUUCGAAGCUACGCGAAGAACCUUACCAGGUCUUGACAUACUAUGCAAAUCUAAGAGAUUAGACGUUCCCUUCGGGGACAUGGAUACAGGUGGUGCAUGGUUGUCGUCAGCUCGUGUCGUGAGAUGUUGGGUUAAGUCCCGCAACGAGCGCAACCCUUAUUAUCAGUUGCCAGCAUUAAGUUGGGCACUCUGGUGAGACUGCCGGUGACAAACCGGAGGAAGGUGGGGAUGACGUCAAAUCAUCAUGCCCCUUAUGACCUGGGCUACACACGUGCUACAAUGGAUGGUACAACGAGUUGCGAACUCGCGAGAGUAAGCUAAUCUCUUAAAGCCAUUCUCAGUUCGGAUUGUAGGCUGCAACUCGCCUACAUGAAGUCGGAAUCGCUAGUAAUCGCGGAUCAGCAUGCCGCGGUGAAUACGUUCCCGGGCCUUGUACACACCGCCCGUCACACCAUGAGAGUUUGUAACACCCAAAGUCGGUGGG
rnacentral:rRNA from 2 species